UUAUAAAAUAUAAAUAAGUAUUUUUAUUUUUAAUAAUGUGUUUAUUUUGUCUGAAAGUUUGAUCCUUGCUUGUUCCUCUGUUUUAGAGAUAAUUUACAUGUAAGUAAGUGCUAGAUAAUUAUAAUAAAUAGAUUUUUUUAGCUAGAAUUCAGUAUAUGUAUUUGGUUGUGGAGUAGUUUUCGAACCAGUAAUUUCAGUUAUUUCAGGUUAAAUUUGUGCCAGCAUCCGCGGUUAAACUGGGAGUAAAUAUGGAGGGGUAAAAGUUAUCGGUUAUAAGAGUUAAAUAUUAAUGAAUUUCUUUUUUUGUAGAGUUGAGAGGUGAAAUAUAUAGUUUGAUAGUGAGGUAGAAGUUUGUUGAUUUUUUUUGAGGCCGUUAAAGUCUAGAUUUAAACCAGGAUUAGAUACCCUGUUAUACUAGAUUUAAAUUUUAUUACUUGAUUAGUAUCAGUUAUGAUCUUGAAAUUUAAAGGAUUUGGCGGUAUCCAAGUCUAGUUAGAGGAACCUGCCAUUGAAACGAUACACCACGAAUGAUCUUACUUUGUCUUGUUUAACAGUAUGUAUACCGCCAUUAUGAGGUGGUGUAUUAAUAUAACCAUUGAAAUUAAUUAAUAUUAAGUAUAUUAGGUCAAGGUGCAGCUUAUGACAAAGAUAUAGGUGGGUUACAGUAUGUUGAAUAUAUACGGAUAAUUUUUUGAAAUAAAAUUUUGAAGGUGGAUUUAAUUGUAUUUCUUUAUUAAUAUGUUAGAUUGAUAUUAGCUCUAGGAUAUGUACACAUCGCCCGUCGCUCUCAUUUUUAAAGUGAGAUAAGUCGUAACAUAGUAGUUGUAUUGGAAAAUGCACCUAGGAGUA
rnacentral:ncRNA from 1 species